AACGCUAGCGACAGGCUUAACACAUGCAAGUCGAGGGGCAGCAUAGAAGUAGCAAUACUUUGGUGGCGACCGGCGCACGGGUGAGUAACGCGUAUGCAACCUACCUAUCAGAGGGGAAUAACCCGGCGAAAGUCGGACUAAUACCGCAUAAAACAGGGGCACCGCAUGGUGAUAUUUGUUAAAGAAAUUCGCUGAUAGAUGGGCAUGCGUUCCAUUAGGUAGUUGGUGAGGUAACGGCUCACCAAGCCGACGAUGGAUAGGGGAACUGAGAGGUUGGUCCCCCACACUGGUACUGAGACACGGACCAGACUCCUACGGGAGGCAGCAGUGAGGAAUAUUGGUCAAUGGGCGGGAGCCUGAACCAGCCAAGUCGCGUGAAGGAAGAAGGAUCUAUGGUUCGUAAACUUCUUUUGCAGGGGAAUAAAGUGCAGGACGUGUCCUGUUUUGUAUGUACCCUGAGAAUAAGGAUCGGCUAACUCCGUGCCAGCAGCCGCGGUAAUACGGAGGAUCCGAGCGUUAUCCGGAUUUAUUGGGUUUAAAGGGUGCGUAGGUGGUUUGAUAAGUCAGCGGUGAAAGUUUGCAGCUUAACUGUAAAAAUGCCGUUGAAACUGUCGGACUUGAGUGUAAAUGAGGUAGGCGGAAUGCGUGGUGUAGCGGUGAAAUGCAUAGAUAUCACGCAGAACUCCGAUUGCGAAGGCAGCUUACUAAGCUACAACUGACACUGAAGCACG
rnacentral:rRNA from 1 species